GUGCUUGCUUUGGCAGCACAUAUACUAAAAUUGGAAAAAUAAAGAGAUUCGCAUGGCCCUGCACAAGGAUGACAUGCAAAUUUGUGAAGCAAUUCUUUUUACU